CAAACUGGGAUUAGAUACCCCACUAUGCCUGGCCCUAAAUCUUGACACUCUAUGCUACCUGAGUGUCCGCCCGAGAACUACGAGCACAAACGCUUAAAACUCUAAGGACUUGGCGGUGUCCCAAACCCACCUAGAGGAGCCUGUUCU
rnacentral:rRNA from 1 species